rnacentral:rRNA from 1 species
UGGUGACGAUGGCGAGAAGGUCACACCUGUUCCCAUACCGAACACAGAAGUUAAGCUUCUCAGCGCCGAUGGUAGUUAGGGCAUUGCCCUUGCAAGAGUAGGACGUUGCCA